AUGAAAUUUCAUUUCCCAAUUUAUUUUGUGAAAGAUUUGCUCGUUGAACUCAUAAUAUUGUAUUUACUAUCCAUAUGAAGGUUAUACUUACCAAGAGGACCAUGAAAAAGACAGUUGUAAAUGAAUCUUGGUUCAAGUUCUAUUUGUACUUUUUUCCCUUUAUAUUCAAACUAAGGGGUAUUUAAAGAUUUGCAAUCUGGCAAUACGUUUCUUGAGUUUUCUGAAGAAACUUUUAUGUACGAGGAACUGAAAUGAUAGCCUUUUUGAUUGAUAUGCUUAUGUGUCUUGCUGCAGGUCUUCAAUCCAUUCACUUAAGAAACUGGUAUCCACUGAUCACACCUUGAGGUGACACCAAAGAGAAUGCAUCAGUCUAGUUUAAUACGGAGAUUCGAACUCAUGACCUUUUGAUCAGAGACAUGACAAUUAUCGCUGUGCUAGGCACAUGUUAGCGUGCAUCAAUCUAGUCUAGUCUAAUGGCUUGAGGGCUUCAAUUCGUCCACUUAAGAAACUGGUUCCACCUUCCAUACCUGGAGGUAAUACCAAAGGGAGUGCACUACCCUGAUUCAGUACUUAACUUAACUUGCCUUCGAGACACAGUGAUGAUGCCUCUUGGAUCCAUCAGUGCAAGUCAGUUGACCGAGUGGGUAGGUGUACCUCCAUAGCUUGAGGAAGAACAUGAGAUCUGAUGAGACUAAUAGCCAUCAAACUCUGCUGGACCAGGGAGACGUUCGGAGUCGAUAGUGAUGAGCUUAUAUAUGACUUACGAUCAUUUGAAUCCAGGGAAAGAGCAGGGUUAGUUCCUCCGAUAUGUAGUAACCUAGGGAAUAUUUUGUUAGACUGCCAUUGGCUCUGUACUUCUCCAACUCACCAUUGCCUCAAUUUUACCAUCUGGCCAGUUGUCUAUGAUGAAUAAUUGCAGAGAAAUUGUAAUCGUUACGUGUUAUCGCGCUUACCGUGCGCGUUAUGUUUGACCCUUGUCAUUGAAAUGAAGGCAUAACCAAGUAGUAGUUUGAAAUUGAACCUCAUACCAGAGC